UAAAGCUAGCCCAGAAACCACCAUAUUUCAACUAUUUUAAAACUAUUAAACAAAACAUUUAUUCACUCUUUUAAAGUAUAGGAGAUAGAAAUUUAUUUAUUGGCGCUAUAGAGAGAGUACCGUAAGGGAACGAUGAAAGAAUACCUAAAAGUAAUAAAAAGCAAAGAUUAACCCUUGUACCUUUUGCAUAAUGAUUUAACUAGAAAAUUUUAGCAAAGAGAACUUAAGUUAAAUGCCCCGAAACCAGACGAGCUACUUGUGAACAGCCUACGGAGCGAACUCGUCUAUGUGGCAAAAUAGUGAGAAGAUUUGCAAGUAGAGGUGACAAGCCUAACGAGCCUGGUGAUAGCUGGUUGUCCAGGAAAAGAAUGUAAGUUCAACUUUAAAAAUACCUAAAAAACCGCUAAUUUUAAUGUAUUUUUAAAAGCUAGUCUAAAAGGGUACAGCUUUUUAGACCGAGGAUACAACCUUACUUAGAGAGUAAAAACAACCAACACCAUAGUUGGCUUAAAAGCAGCCAUCAAUUAAGAAAGCGUUCAAGCUCAACAUUAAACAAAGUUUUAAUUCCAAUAGUCAACAAGGAACUCCUAACCCAAUACUGGACUAAUCUAUUAAUUAAUAGAAGCAAUAAUGUUAAUAUGAGUAACAAGAAAUAUUUCUCCCUGCAUAAGCUUAUGUCAGCAACGGAUAUUCUACUGACAGUUAACACUUAAUAAAUUUAACCCACCAAUGAACAAUUUAUUAAAUUUACUGUUAACCCAACACAGGCAUGCAUUAAGGAAAGAUUAAAAGAAGCAAAAGGAACUCGGCAAA
rnacentral:rRNA from 1 species